rnacentral:rRNA from 1 species
GACGUUGGGUUAAGUCCCGCAACGAGCGCAACCCUUGAUCUUAGUUGCCAGCAUUCAGUUGGGCACUCUAAGGUGACUGCCGGUGACAAACCGGAGGAAGGUGGGGAUGACGUCAAAUCAUCAUGCCCCUUAUGACCUGGGCUACACACGUGCUACAAUGGACAGAACAAAGGGCAGCGAAACCGCGAGGUUAAGCCAAUCCCACAAAUCUGUUCUCAGUUCGGAUCGCAGUCUGCAACUCGACUGCGUGAAGCUGGAAUCGCUAGUAAUCGCGGAUCAGCAUGCCGCGGUGAAUACGUUCCCGGGCCUUGUACACACCGCCCGU